rnacentral:lncRNA from 10 species
AAGAAGUGAAAAUGCCCUGCCCCGCCUUAACUGAUGACAUUCCACCACAAAAGAAGUGUAAAUGGCCGGUCCUUCCCUUAAGUGAUGACAUUACCUUGUGAAAGUCCUUUUCCUGGCUCAUCCUGGCUCAAAAAGCACCCCCACUGAGCCCUUGCGACCCCCAGAAAAAGCCCCAAAGAAGAGACUUCAGGAUAAAUGAGAAAAUACUCAAGACAGCAAAAGUCUCUUUUAGAAAUGUUGGAGAAAGAACACUUAAUGUCAGGAGUUACUGUUGAUUGAUGGCCUUACUGUGUAGCAGGUGAGAAACCCAUUGUUCAGUUCCCUAAAGUCACCCUAUUCUCCCAAUCAUCCUAUGGAGGGGGAACCAUGAUGGUUAUCCCCAUCUUAUAAAUAAAGCAACAGAGGCUUAGAAGGACGAACUCUUUUUCUCAAGGUUACCCAGAUCAUUUUGCAGAAGUCCCUAGAUUUGAAUCAUGCUCUUGCUUUGAGGUUAAAGACACAGGGGAAGUCGAACUCCUUAUCUCCUAUAUCCUGAAUAGGGAAAACCAAACAUUGUCAAGAGGAGAGGAAGCCUGAGAGUUGGCAUGAAUCAGAGUGCUGGGCAGUCUGGAGUCUUCCCCACUGAGUUGAUGAUGGAACAGUAGA